rnacentral:rRNA from 1 species
GACAGAGGGUGCAAACGUUGUUCGGAAUUACUGGGCGUAAAGCGCGUGUAGGCGGCAAUACAAGUCGGAUGUGAAAUCCCGCGGCUUAACCGUGGAAGUGCACCCGAAACUGUAUCGCUAGAGUCCCGGAGAGGAUGGUGGAAUACUUGGUGUAGAGGUGAAAUUCGUAGAUAUCAAGUGGAACACCAGUGGCGAAGGCGGCUCACUGGUCCGGUACUGACGCUGAGGUGCGAAAGCGUGGGGAGCAAACAGG